AUUGAACGCUGGCGGCAGGCCUAACACAUGCAAGUCGAGCGGAUGAAGGGAGCUUGCUCCUGGAUUCAGCGGCGGACGGGUGAGUAAUGCCUAGGAAUCUGCCUGGUAGUGGGGGAUAACGUCCGGAAACGGGCGCUAAUACCGCAUACGUCCUGAGGGAGAAAGUGGGGGAUCUUCGGACCUCACGCUAUCAGAUGAGCCUAGGUCGGAUUAGCUAGUUGGUGGGGUAAAGGCCUACCAAGGCGACGAUCCGUAACUGGUCUGAGAGGAUGAUCAGUCACACUGGAACUGAGACACGGUCCAGACUCCUACGGGAGGCCGCAGUGGGGAAUAUUGGACAAUGGGCGAAAGCCUGCUCCAGCCAUGCCGCGUGUGUGAAGAAGGUCUUCGGAUUGUAAAGCACUUUAAGUUGGGAGGAAGGGCAGUAAGUUAAUACCUUGCUGUUUUGACGUUACCAACAGAAUAAGCACCGGCUAACUUCGUG
rnacentral:rRNA from 1 species